rnacentral:rRNA from 1 species
UACAGAGGUCUCAAGCGUUGUUCGGAUUCAUUGGGCGUAAAGGGUGCGUAGGUGGCGCCGUAAGUCAGGUGUGAAAUUUCGGAGCUUAACUCCGAAACUGCAUUUGAUACUGCGGUGCUUGAGGACUGGAGAGGAGACUGGAACUUACGGUGUAGCAGUGAAAUGCGUAGAGAUCGUAAGGAAGACCAGUGGCGAAGGCGGGUCUCUGGACAGUUCCUGACACUGAGGCACGAAGGCCAGGGGAGCAAACGGG